rnacentral:lncRNA from 1 species
GUGUGCCCAUGAUGCACCGUGGGCAGCGCGGAGGAGGGAGGUCUGCCGACGUUGAAUCGUGUUUGCGCCCUCAUCGAAGCCGCAUAGUCAGGUCCGGGAUCAUCACUCAGUCCCCAGGAAAUUCUUCGUGGCGUCUCCGGGCGCGGGAGGCCAGGACCAGGAUUCAAUGGGGAUUUCUUGCCGCUGCAACUUAGCCACGGCGAAGCCGCAUCUCAUCAUGGACUCACGCUUGGACCAACGACGAAGCCUGGCUGGAAUUGCUAAUGAUGCCUCAGGAAUUGCUUGAUGCAGAUCCACCUCUGGCCGUGGACGGACCUCUGCACCUCAUCAACCCCGGUAAGAAUAUCCCUCAAACGUUCACGACCCUCUCUUACGCCCGUAGAAACUCUCGUCUAAUCUUUUGGGUCUCGGAUCGCCAGUACUUCCAUGUCUGGUGAGGGCGCCGCCGCCCUGGCUAACCACACCGCCGUGGUCGUGGCUUGGGUAAGAAGAAGAUGAUGAUCGGCCGUUGGAUCGUUCACCAGCGGUAGGAAUUAGAAAGUCGCGUACCCUUUCGUGGGGAUUGAUCUAGGCCAUAGGAUUAGAGAUGGAUGGCGUAUAAUGGUUUUAAGUCGUGGCUGCCUCUCGGCC